ACGUCUCAAGAAUGAAGGACCACCGCCUCCCUAAGAUCCUACACUAUGGUGAACUUGCCACUGGCUGCCACAUGAGAGGAGCCCCGAAGAGAAGAUACAAGGACUCCCUGAAACAACACCUCAGCCUUGGCCAUAUUGAUCAUCAUAACUGGUCUACUCUGGCCUCCAAUCAGGAGGUCUGGAGACACACCAUCUAUAACGCUGCUGAUGCCUUUGAGAAAGCACACAGGGUCACUCUCAAGGAGAAAAGACAACGCAGAAAGAAUCGUGCCCUGCAGAAUGUACCACCUAAGGAGUCUUUCAGCUGAACCUUUUGCAGCUAGACGUGCCUGUCUCGUAUUGGCCUUUUCAGCCACCAGUGCGCUUGUAACAGUUGUGGGUAGAGCCCUUCCCAAAUCUUUGUUCGCGAAGCCCAGCCAUGAUGAUGCUGUAACGAGAGAAUAUAAAAGGCGCGAUUUGCAAAUGGUUGGUGUGCCUUUAGGUCCACGUGACUUGCAGUGCACCCAGCAUGCUGCAAUAAAGAACUUCUUGCCACACUUUCCUUGUCCUACAGGUAUAUUUUUUCUGUUUUUAAAUUUAAAGGAAGGAUUUUUCCUACAAAGCCAAGUAAUGCCACUUCACAAAUGAGCAGAAAGCCUGUAGUCUGGUAAUAACAGGGACCUCAUCUGAGAGAUAAGAAAACAGCCUGAUUUAGAGAAGGGACAAGUUGUGUCUUCUACCUUUUAGGUGAGUGUCCUAAUCCAUAGGCAAUAGGUGAUUCUAGGAUGGGAGCUUCUCCUUCUGGGGCAACUUCUGUUGUGAAAAAAAAGAAAAUAAGGCAUUGAAAAAGGCAGCAAGAGUCUGGCCUUACAGCUAGUUGACAAGAGUGGCCUUCUAGGAUGUCUAAGACUCAUGAGACUCUGGCCUUCUGGACUCAGGAGGUAAUCUUGAACAAAGCUCUCUUGUAAGCCAGAGAAUUUCCUAUCCAUCCUGAAAGGAGAGUUUUCAGGUUAUGGAAAUAGAAGGUCAAGAAGUUGCAGUCACCUUUAAGAGACAACUGUAGGCUGUUUUUGAAUCUCCGCCAGCAUUCUCCACCUGCCAGAUGACAUGACAAGUUGCUGAAAAAAACAACCAAAGAAGGACCUAUCCUUUCCAUCCCAAUGCAAGUUACAUCUGGGAUAAUCACAAGCAGCAAUAUGAGACACAACAUGGCAGUGACCCUGGUGCCCUCUGGAAGUCCAGUGUAUAGUGAAGUACAAAAUGGGAAACCUGUUACCUUACAGAUUUAUCAUGCAAUGCCCUUGAGCUUCAGAAGGCCAAUAGAACUGGAAGUUGACUUGUAAGGUACAAAGAGGCUCAAUUUUAACUUUCCAGAACGAGAUAUUUCUGGGGAUUAGUUUCAUUUCAAAAUACAGGGAGGAGCCAGUAUUCCGUCUGCAAAUCCUGCCCCAUUCAUGUAACAAUACCUCUUCUGGUUUCUGGCAGUGAGUCAAGGUUUAAGAUUUUAUUUCAUUCUCCUUUUGGUACAGCAUGGUAUGUAACAGCCACAGCAGACUAUACAGUCUUGAGCGCUGGCACGAGUCAGAGGUGUAUAUAUCUUAGCACCCAGAAGGGGCUGUUCUGAUGCUAUGGUGACAUAUGGAGCCAUAGAGGUGACAUCAACUGCGGAUGUUAAGUGCUUAGUCCUCUCUUCUGUGCAUGGGAAUGGUGGUGACUCUAGCUAUACAAAAAGCCUCACCAUGAUACAGAUUUUAUUUCCAAGAAAAUGCCUGGUGAGCUGCAAGGAAUUGUCACCAAGUUGGCCUUAGGAAAAGAAUUGCUUCUUCUUGACACUUAGCCCAGUGCUAAAUAGCUGAGUAGAAAUUUGAUUCUGUCAGGUUCCUUCACUGAAUAUGAAAUAAUACUAAAAGAGCUCUGACGUAAUUUCUUUUAUAUUUUAAUACUAUAUCUUGAAAUCCGAGAUAUGUCAAGAAACCUGUGGGAGGCAGGUGCCCUAAUCUCACCAAGUUUCCAACGGAUUCCCUCUGGUGCUUUAAAUCCUUGUGUAGAAAAUUGAAUGUUAUGUUGGCCUGAAUAAAACACAAGCUUAAUCUUA